AACCUACCCCCGAGUUGGGGACAACCACGGGAAACUGUGGAUAAUCCCCAAUAGGUGAGAAUCACUGGAAUGUUUUCUCACCCAAAGCUCAGGCGCUCGAGGAUGGGACUGCGGCCUAUCAGGCUGUUGGUGGUGUAACGGGCCACCAAACCGACAACGGGUACGGGCGAUGGGAGUCGGAGCCCGGAGAUGGGGACUGAGACAAGGCCCCAGGCCCUACGGGGCGCAGCAGGCGCGAAAACUCCGCAAUAUGCGCAAGCGUGACGGGGGAAUCCCAAGUGCCGAUGGUCUUUGAUCGUCGGCUUUUCGGGAGUGUAAGGAGCUCCCGGAAUAAGGGCUGGGUAAGACUGGUGCCAGCCGUCGCGGUAAUACCAGCAGCCCGAGUGGUGGCCGGGUUUAUUGGGCCUAAAGCGCUCGUAGCCGGGUUGAUAAGUCCUUUGUGAAAUCGGACGGCUCAACCGUUCGGCUUGCAAGGGAUACUAUCGAUCUCGAGGCCAAGAAAAGUCGGGAGUACUUUGGGGGUAGUAGUGAAAUGCUGUAAUCCUCAAAGAACUACCAGUGGCGAAGGCGCCCGACUGGAGCGGACCUGACGGUGAGGGGCGAAAGCUUGGGGAGCGAACGGGAUUAGAUACCCCGGUAGUCCAAGCCGUAAAGCAUGCGGGUCAGGUGUUUGGCAUCCUUCGAGGGUGUCAAGUGCCGAAGGGAAGCCGUUAAGCCCGCCGCCUGGGAAGUACAGUCGCAAGGCCGARACUUAAAGAAAUUGGCGGGGGAGCACCACAAGGGGUGGAGCCUGCGGUUUAAUUGGAUUCAACGCCGGACAACUCACCGGGGGCGACAGCUGGUUGAAGGCCAGGUUGACGACCUUGCUGGACUAGCUGAGAGGUGGUGCAUGGCCGUCGUCAGCUCGUACCGUGAGGCGUCCUGUUAAGUCAGGCAACGAGCGAGACCCUCACCCUUAGUUGCUAUAUCUUCCGAUAUGUGCACUCUAAGGGGACCGCUGGUGCUAAACCAGAGGAAGGGGAGGGCGACGAUAGGUCCGUAUGCCCCGAAUCCCCCGGGCUACACGCGGGCUACAAUGCGCUGGACAGUUGGAUGCAACCCCGUGAGGGGAAGCUAAACCUUAAACCUGCGCUUAGUUCGGAUCGAGGGCUGCAACUUGCCCUCGUGAAGCUGGAAUCCCUAGUAAUCGCGUGCCAACAUCGCGCGGUGAAUACGUCCCUGCUUCUUGCACACACCGCCCGUCAAGCCAUCCGAGUGGAGUUUGGAUGAGGCCGAUUCAAGUKGGGUCGGUCGAAUUUAGAC
rnacentral:rRNA from 1 species